rnacentral:rRNA from 1 species
UACGUAGGGUGCGAGCGUUGUCCGGAAUUACUGGGCGUAAAGAGCUCGUAGGUGGUUUGUCGCGUUGUCCGUGAAAACUCACAACUCAAUUGUGGGCGUGCGGGCGAUACGGGCAGACUGGAGUACUGCAGGGGAGACUGGAAUUCCUGGUGUAGCGGUGGAAUGCGCAGAUAUCAGGAGGAACACCGGUGGCGAAGGCGGGUCUCUGGGCCGAUACUGACGUGGAGGAGCGAAAGCGUGGGGAGCGAACAGG